UCGGCUUAGAGUUUGAUCAUGGCUCAGGACGAACGCUGGCGGCGUGCUUAACACAUGCAAGUCGAACGAAGCUGUUUUGGAACUUUUCCCUCGGGAAAAGGAAAGAGAUAGACUGAGUGGCGAACGGGUGAGUAACGCGUGAGCAAUCUGCCUCGAAGCGGGGGAUAACAACCGGAAACGGUUGCUAAUACCGCAUAAGACCACAUUUUCGCAUGGAAAAGUGGUAAAAGGUGCCUCGGUGCCGCUUCGAGAUGAGCUCGCGUUCCAUUAGACAGUUGGUGAGGUAACGGCUCACCAAAUCUACGAUGGAUAGCCGGCCUGAGAGGGCAAUCGGCCACACUGGAACUGAGACACGGUCCAGACUCCUACGGGAGGCAGCAGUGGGGAAUAUUGGGCAAUGGAGGAAACUCUGACCCAGCAACGCCGCGUGAGGGAUGAAGGUCUUCGGAUUGUAAACCUCUGUCCCAUGGGACGAAAAAAUGACGGUACCAUGGGAGGAAGCUCCGGCUAACUACGUGCCAGCAGCCGCGGUAAUACGUAGGGAGCAAGCGUUGUCCGGAAUUACUGGGCGUAAAGGGUGCGCAGGCGGACCUUUAAGUCAGAUGUGAAAGACCGGGGCUCAACCCCGGGUGUGCAUUUGAAACUGGAGGUCUUGAGGAUGGCAGAGGCAGAUGGAAUUCCUAGUGUAGCGGUGGAAUGCGUAGAUAUAGGAGGAACACCAGUGGCGAAGCGGUCUGCUGGCAUUUCUGACGCUGAGCACGAAAGCGUGGGGAGCAAACAGAUAGCGAUCUGCAGAUUCA
rnacentral:rRNA from 1 species